GGAUAGACAAGGUAAAGCCGUAUCUCCCAAUGAUCAUAGCUCCUUUGUUUCGGGAACUCAACAGCACCUAUUCAGAGCAAGAUCCUUUGCUGAAGAAUCUAUCCCAGGAAAUCAUAGAAUUACUCAAAAAGCUGGUUGGGCUUGAGAGCUUCUCAUUAGCCUUUGCCUCUGUACAGAAACAGGCUAAUGAGAAAAGGGCACUCCGGAAAAAGAGGAAGGCCCUGGAGGUAAUUUGUAACUAAUCCUGAUAUUGCUGCCAAGAAAAAAAUGAAGAAACACAAAAAUAAAAGUGAAGCAAAGAAGAGAAAGAUAGAGUUCCUGCGUCCAGGAUAUAAGGCCAAGAGACAAAAAAGCCAUAGCCUGAAAGAUUUAGCAAUGGUGGAGUAAUGUCUCCCUGUGCUGAUACAAGCAUGAACUUUCUGGAAUAUUCUGCUAGUCUGAAAUUACAGUAGGUUGUCUGGGGUAGGGGGGAGGCGUUUUUUUUUUUUUUUGAGACAAGGUCUCACUCUGUCACCCAAGGUGGAGUGCAGUGACGACAUCACAGCUCACUGCAGCCUCAACCUGGGUUCAAGUGAUCCUCUCACCUCAGCCUCCCAAGUAGUUGUGCCUCCUAGGCACACAACACUAUGCCCGGCAAAUUUUUUGUAUUUUGUAUUUUUUGUAGAAACAGGAUUUCGCCAUGUUGGCCAGGCUGGUCUCGAACACCUGGGCUCAACUGAUCCGCCUGCCUCGGCCUCCCAAAGUGCUGGGAUUACAGGUGUGAGCCACCCUGCUCAACCAGGUUUUAUUAUUUAAGUUAGUUAAACUUUGGAUAGAUUGUAUAAUAUAUAGUUUAAUGUAAUCAUGCUCAUAUUUUUUAAAUAAAUAAAACACUAUAC
rnacentral:lncRNA from 10 species